rnacentral:rRNA from 1 species
AGAGCGAACGCUGGCGGCAGGCCUAACACAUGCAAGUCGAACGGACCCUUCGGGGUUAGUGGCGGACGGGUGAGUAACACGUGGGAACGUGCCUUUUGGUUCGGAAUAGCUCCUGGAAACGGGUGGUAAUGCCGAAUGUGGCCCUUCGGGGGAAAGAUUUAUCGCCAUUAGAGCGGCCCGCGUCUGAUUAGCUAGUUGGUAAGGUAAUGGCUUACCAAGGCGACGAUCAGUAGCUGGCUGAGAGGAUGACCAGCCACAUUGGGACUGAGACACGGCCCAAACUCCUACGGAGGCAGCAGUGGGGAAUCUUGCGCAAUGGGCGAAAGCCUGACGACAGCCAUGCCGCGUGAAUGAUGAAGGUCUAGGAUUGUAAAAUUCUUUACACCGGGACGAUAAUGACGGUACCGAGAGAAGCCCGCAACUUCGUAGCCAGCACGCCGAC